rnacentral:rRNA from 1 species
CCUACGGGUGGCAGCAGUAGGGAAUAUUGCUCAAUGGGGGAAACCCUGAAGCAGCAACGCCGCGUGGAGGAUGAAGGUUUUCGGAUUGUAAACUCCUUUUGUUAGAGAAGAAAAUGACGGUAUCUAACGAAUAAGCACCGGCUAACUCCGUGCCAGCAGCCGCGGUAAUACGGAGGGUGCAAGCGUUACACGGAAUCACUGGGCGUAAAGGGCGCGUAGGCGGGAUAGCAAGUCAGAUGUGAAAGCCUGUAGCUUAACUACAGAACUGCAUUUGAAACUGUGAGUCUAGAGUGUGGGAGAGGUAGGUGGAAUUCUUGGUGUAGUGGUGAAAUCCGUAGAUAUCACGAAGAAUACUCAUUGCGAAGGCGGCCUACUGGAACAUUACUGACGCUCAUGCACGAAAGCGUGGGGAGCAAACAGGAUUAGAUACCCGUGUAGUC